UGUAAGCAGAGCUAGUACUUCGGAAGUUCGGACGCCCUUUAUUUGUUAGGAUUGGUUAUUCAUAUAAAAAACGACGAUAUGAAGACAACGCGUUCAACUUUUAAUCUAUAGCUGCCUGUGAUGUGAAAACGUACACGGAACAAUUAAAAGUUACACGACGACGCGGCAGAAAUGAGAGAAUUAUGCAGCAAGAAGACGGGGAGAAUACAAUGUGUCUGUGAUGAAGAUAAACGAAGAUUGACUGACUGAGCAUCAUUGACACGGUCCCUCUCUAAGCAACCAGCGCUGGAUGUUGAGCAUGGACGGUCAGGUUGUGUGUGAAGAAGAGCAGCGCAAAUUUGUCUCUGGUCUUGCAACGCUGAUUGCCUCAUUCUACAAUUUUAACCUCCAGGAUCAGGAAGCGGUGGCAUGCACCCUUGGGUUUGUUCAGAGAUGAUUUCUCUUCAUCAACCUGGAACGUGGAUCACAGAUGAAGAAAGGGAAAAAGAACACUACAGUAAAUCCACAGGUUUUCACUCUUCAUAGAAAACUUACAGACUUUAAAUGCAAUUUUGUUUAGACACUUCCACUAUCCAGUGUAGUUGAAUUAAAAGGAAAUAAAGUUUCUUACAUUGUUAAUGAUGUGCUGUUAAUUGAAAUACAAACGUACAGCUGGCAUUUCAUCCAAAUAUGCUUAUGUUAAAGAAUUACACCACUUUUAAAAUGAUGCAAAAACAAAAGAAAGUCAGGAGGGAAAAUACA